CAAAAAGCACAUGACUUACAUCACCUUAGUGCACAAACCCUUAGGAUUAAAUAUAAGAUCAUCCGUGAACCCCCGUGGGCUGGUUCUUGGAGAGCUCUGGCAAAUGGAUGUCACCAUCUUCCCUCCUUUGGUAAAUUAAAAUAUAUUCAUGACAUCAUUGAUACCCUUAGCGGCUUUAUCUAUGCAUCCCUCACAGUUUUGCCUCAACCUAAGAUUGUUAAAACAGAUAAUGAACCUCUACAUGUACGAAGAGAGAACCCAUCACCACCUUGACUCUUGCAGUACUCUUAGGCCUGUCAGCUGUUGGGACAGGAACUGGCGUUGCCUACCUGAUCACCUCCCAACAGAGUUAUUAUCAGCUCAGUGCCACCAUAGACAGGGACAUCAGUGAGCUUCAACAAGGAAUAACCUAUCUUAAAGAUUCAGUCACUUCCUUGGCUGAGGUUGAUCUACAAAAUAGAAAGGGAUUAGAUCUUCUCUUUCUUCAACAGGGAGGGCUCUGUGCAGCCCUCAAGGAGGAGUGUUGCUUUUAUGCUGAUAAGACAGGAUUAGUAGGAAACAGCCUACAAAAGUUGAGAAAGUCUACAAAAGAGACAAAGAGAAAGAGAAAAGAGUGAAGUCUGGUAUAAAAAUUGGUUUUCUGCCUCUCCCCUGCUCACCACUCUUUUACCCAGUAUGCUGGGUCCCUUUAUAGGACUCCUGCUACUCAUCUACUUUGGUCCAUGGGUGCUUAGAAAGUUAACUAAUUUUAUCAAGGCCCAGGUGGAUUCAGCUACCAAGCAGGUCUCUGUCCAUUACCACCGCCUCCAUUGUGAGGAGGCUGAGACAACCGGGGAGUGUGAUACUCCCCUUGGGUCGCCCAUGGCUGGCCUUGCUUUCUCCACCCUAAAUACAGCCUAUAACUCAGGCUGGAAAAUCAGUCGCUGGUGGAAGUGUCAAUGAUGGGAAUAUUAUGGUGACACAUACCAGGCACACACCUCACCGCUGUGAAGUAACCCUACACAGGAUUAGCAUGGGUUCAUGAUCUGGGUUGCCCACUCUCACAAAACACACAUGUAUAGCCCAGAACGGUGUGUUAAAGCAUAAGAUUGUUUCUAGCCAUCGGGGUGUAGUCCUAACUGCAAGAGUGGCUCAUCCAUGGCUGCGCUGGGCACUCUGUGAAGCAUAUCUGACCAAUUACAGACCACUACUUCCACCCUGGCAAGAAUAAUAAAACCUAAGUGAGAGUGCCAGAUGUGGGGGCAACCUGUGUAGCCUAAGACACGGGGCUUCACCGACUCCUUAUAGGUGCUGGUCUUGGAUGCACACCAUAUAACCUAGACAGACCUUCUUCCCACUGAUAGUUAAAGAAAGGGGGAGAUGUCCAGAACUGGACUGCUGGACUAGACAAAGCUAGAGUCCUGCCCUGAGCAGAUUCCUGAGAAGGGCUUGACCUUUUCAAAGAAUAAGAACAUCUUGUGGUUUAAUGAUUCACUUUAUGUCCUUGGGCACUUCCCAGUCUCCCCCCCCCCCCCAAGCUUCAGUUCCUGCUUCAGAGCUUUAAAUGCUGUACACUCCUCUCAAUAAACAGACCUGGACAAGGACACUGCUUUGUCUUGCUCCUCUUUCUUGCUCGUUCCCCCACAGGUACUCUUCGUCCUCAACCCCCAUGAAUAACUGAGUCCCCACUGGCAGGGACAGGCACUCAGAGCCAUGCUGGAAGAUAUACUUGGAAUUAAUCUUCCCAACUUACAUCACUGAAAGUGUCUGGGAAGAAUGUAGGGAAGACUACAUAUGCUUGAACAAAUUAUUUUGAAACAGUUGACUACAAAGAAGAGGAACCUACAGCUGUAAUAUAUUAAAAAUUGUGAAAGGUAUAGUUCUGUAGAUUUUCAGCAUGUUACACACUGUUACAUACAAUACAAGUACAGCCAGUUGAAAAAGUGGGCAGAGAAUUAUGCUGCCCAGAAAAAUCACACUUGUCAUAGAUGCACUUGAACUUAAUAAUGAUAUAUGAAUAUCAGAUAUAUGUGAAGACCUACAUUGGGCCAAAUGGAGAAAUAGAUUGCUGUAGGAAAUGGGGCUAAGAAUUAGAGUGAGAGCAAACUAUCUUCAGAUGUUUUAUAAUCAUGUAUGAUGGCACAGCCAGGAAUCAAAGCAACUUCUACCAAUAAUCAGGGCUCUAGGUACCCACUUCAAACCACAAACUUCUACUGCUGCUGACUUUAUGGAUUGGGAAAAGUAUUGACAUAAAAAUGUAAAACAAAAUAAUAAAUCUUGAAAAAUGUUCUGAUUUUGGUAAGAUGUUUAGAGUCAAUAAAGUGAAUUAUAUUAAUGAUUAUUUUCAUAGUAUGCAGAAAGACAUUCUGCAUACUUAUUUUUGGUUUUAGGAAAAAUAAAGAGGAGUUGAUUAUCGAUACUAUAAUUUUUAAAAGAAAUUUUAUAUUAAUUAAAUACUAUGGAAAAUGAGCUGUGUCAUAAUACUAGCAAUUAGAUACAGUUUUCAUAAUGUAAUAUUAAGUACACAAUUAUACUCUCAAAUACAGCUAAGAAAAUUGAUAAUUUUUAUUAAUAAUGUAUUUUCUUUCUUAAUUCACAUACAUUUACUGUCUAUCCCAUGCCAACUAGGGAACGAUAGAUAUUUAAGUAGGUGUGGUCUUUUGUGGUAAAUUUUCUACUUAGUUAAAUGAAACUAGAUCUAAUGUUAUCUCAUACUAUCGGAGAUUAAGGUGACAGGAACUUACGCAGUGCAGUAAGGUAAAGUGGUGUGAGUCCAUAACCAGGUAGAUCAAGGAGAAGUUAACAAUAAUUGCCAUGGUUCCAGCAAGGUGACUCAGCAGAAUGAGAAGCAAAGCCUUGCUGUCCUUCCUUCUUUCAUUUUUCUUCCAUGGUAUUACUGCCAGUCUUUUCUGUGGGAGCCAAGUCAACCCGAUCAUUUUGCAAUUAGACACACAGAUAAUAUAAUUGUGGAAACCAUUUUGCUAGGUGUAUCGUAUCAUAAUGUGAUGUUGUAUACAUUAAGCAUAUAUAUAUUGUAUUUAUCAGUUAACCUUUAUUAAGGUUUAGAAAAUAAUUGAAGUGAAAAUGAGCAAAAUGUAUAUGUAUAUUUUAUUAUGGCAAGGUGAAAGGUAUUAUUUGGUUUUCAGAGUUUUUAGAUGUUUAUUAUUUAUUGUUCCUGCUUGCUUAGAAGCUAUAAUGUUGUUGAUAUUCAUAUGGAUGAUAAAUCAUAGCGUUUUAAUUUGCCUUCUUUUAAAAAAUAAGAGCAAUCAUUCUAUUUCUAUAUGGGAUGGAGAAUAUGGCACAAGAUUUGCUCCAAGUUAAUUUUAUCUUGGAAGGAUAACUGUACAAGUUUUUAUAUUUUGGACAUUGAGGAAAAAAAGUUCUUUGUGAACUUUGUGAACAUACACGCACAUAAUAUAUUUAUUAUGCUGUUUCUGAUAGCCUUACAGACCUUUUUCUGAAUGCAUAAUUUCUUUCCAGUGGCUGUUCAUGGACACAAGUACUGUGUAUUAUUGUUAAAGUGGAACAAUAAAUAACACAAAAAUAAAACCAGAAGCAAAAGCACAGUUACUUGUUUUCUCAGGGUAUGAUAUGAAGUGUUGACUUUAAUAAACCAACUCAUCAGAUCUGAAUUUGAAAUUGAGAAACAAGGACAAAUAAGCCACUGUGCUCCAUAUGUGAAUGAGUAGCAGGAGCAGGGCACAGUCUGCAGAUGCAGAGGCAGAAGAAUGAAAGGUCUCCUGUACAUCAUCGCUAGCAGUAUUCCUGCACAAAGCAUACUUGUGUUUUCCAUCAACUGCACUGCUUUCUACAUUGGACUGAUAUUUCAGUUUUCCUAAAGCCUUAUCUUAUGUGUACCCUUGUUAGCUUCUUGCGUACUUUCCUUCAUCCUCUUGGUUUGAGGAUGUAUCUAUUAAAAUAUAAAUGAGAAUUUAA